rnacentral:lncRNA from 1 species
GGAGAAUAGACGGGGAGAAGAGAGGGGGAGAAGGUGGGAGGAGAGGAGAGGGGGAGAAGGGGGAGAAGAAGGGAGAAGAGGAGAAGAGACUGGGAGAAGAGAGGGGAGAAGAAGAGACUGGGAGAAGAGGAGAGGCAGGGGAGGAGAAGAGGAGAGCGGCAGAAGAGGAUAAGAGAGGGGAGAAGAGGAGAAGAGAGGGGGAGAAGACGAGAGGGUGAGAAGAGGAGAGGAAGGGGGAGGAGAAGAGAAAAGAAGCGGGGAAGAGAAGAGGAGAGGGGGAGAAGGGGAUAAGAGAGGGGGAAGAGAAGAGGAGAAGAGAGGGGGAAGAGAAGAGGAGAAGGGGAGAAGGGGAGAAGAGAGGGGGAGAAGAGGAGAAGAGAGGGGGAAGAGAAGAGGAGAAGGGGAGAGGAGAGGGUGAGAAAAGGAGAAGAGAGGGGGAGAAGGGGAGAGGGGGAGGGGGAGACGAGAGGAGAGGAGAGGAGAAAUGGAGAAGCGGAGGGUGAGAAGAGGAGAGGGGAAGGAGGAGAGGAGAGUCGGAAGGACAGGAGAGGGGAGGGGAGAGGGGCAGAAGGAGAGAAGAGGAGAGGGGGAGAAGAGAAGAGGAGAGGGGAAGAAGAGGGGUGGUAGAAGUGAGGGGAGGGGAGAGGGGGAGAAGAGGAGAGGUUGAGAAGGGGAGAAGAGAGGGGGAGGAGAGGAGAGGGGAGA